rnacentral:rRNA from 1 species
UGGGGAAUAUUGCACAAUGGAGGGAACUCUGAUGCAGCGACGCCGCGUGAACGAAGAAGGCUUUCGAGUCGUAAAGUUCUUUUAUAUGGGAAGAUAAUGACGGUACCAUAAGAAAAAGCCCCGGCUAACUACGUGCCAGCAGCCGCGGUAAUACGUAGGGGGAUAGCGUUGUCCGGAAUCACUGGGCGUAAAGGGUUCGUAGGCUGAUAUGCAAGUAAGUGGUAAAAGGCAGUAGAUUAACUACUGUAAGCAUUUGAAACUGCAUAUCAUGAGAAGCGUAGCGGUAAGUGGAAUUUUUAGUGUAGCAGUGAAUUGCGUAGAUAUUAAAAAGAAUACCGGUAGCGAAGGCGGCUUACUGGGCUCAUUCUGACGCUGAUGAACGAACGCGUCGGUAGCAAACAGG